AGGUUUAUGCAGUGGACUGGAGUCCCGAUGGCCAAAGAGUGGCCAGUGGCGGUAAAGACAAAUGUCUCCGAAUAUGGAGAAGAUAGCCACACCUCUGUUCCCUUCCUAAUUUGGCAGAAGAUUUCACAUUUACUGCUUACAAGAAGCCUGCCAGCUGGAGCAAGGGUGGCUAGACUGUAGCUAACCCCCCAUUCAGCUUUAUUACACUGUCAGCAAUGGCAUUAUGUCAUGGAAAUCUAGGUCCAGUCAUCAUACAAACCUAAACCUCUCUAGGUUUGAAACCGAUGUGGGAUUCUUAACUAUAAAGGUUUAUAAUCGUAGAAUGUACAGUGUAAAAUGUAUGUUAGUGGCGGCAUCUCAAAUUUGAACAUGAAAUAGCUGCCAUUCAUGUACAUAUUGUUUUGUACACAUCCGGGGCCCUGACAUGUAAAGAACUUGACUUUUAAAGUUAAAUCCUGAUUAUAACGCCACACCCAUUUACAGAAACCACAAACAGUUAUGCAUUUAAAAAUAAAUACACAACCUAAUGCUUGAAUUUCUCAACACAGAAUAUAUUCUAAAAUGAGAUGAAAAGUCUAUAAGAAUUUAACCAGCACAUAAGGUGGUUAACUUGUUUCUCAGCAGCUUGUCCCCUACUUCACCUUAAGCCUCGCUAGACGGACUAUAUUGCAUGUGACAGGUGGACUGGCGGGGCAACAGGUGGGAACGCUAAUACCUUCCUCUGUGAUGUUAAUAGCAACGGCGCUCACCCUGCUCCUUCAACCUUUAAUCAUCUCUGUCCUGCAAUCAACAAAGCCUCAGGCCCGCUGAUUUUUCCCACUGAGGAAAAAGCAGGCUCACCAUUCCAGCUGAAAUAACCAGUUUUAUUUUCUGUAUGAGUCUGGCUGUGAAUAUUUAAUAACAAUAAAUAUUUACAUCCCAA